rnacentral:sRNA from 1 species
GCGGAACUCCGGGUGCCGGUUGAGGUUGCUGGUGGACCUGCUCUGGUGGUCUUGGAUGAGGCCCCAUGAGCGCGGCGCCCCUGGUGGGCUACAGCAGCAGCGGCUCCGAGGAUGAGUCCGAGGACGGGAUGCGGACCAGGCUGGGGGAUGGGAGCCACCGUCGUGGCCACAGCCCCCUUCCCAGGCAGAGAUUUCCAGUACCUGACAGUGUGCUGAACAUGUUCCCGGGCACCGAGGAGGGGCCUGAAGAUGACAGCACAAAACACGGGGGACGGGUGCGCACCUUCCCCCACGAGCGAGGCAACUGGGCCACCCACGUCUAUGUACCAUAUGAAGCCAAGGAGGAGUUCCUGGAUCUGCUUGAUGUGUUGCUGCCCCAUGCCCAGACAUAUGUCCCCCGGCUGGUAAGGAUGGAGGCGUUCCACCUCAGCCUGUCCCAGAGUGUGGUUCUGCGCCACCACUGGAUCCUCCCCUUCGUGCAGGCUCUGAAAGCCCGUAUGACCUCCUUCCACAGAAAUGCAUCUCCUGCUAGACUGGUCCAGAUCAAA